CCCUAAAUAGCCUCACAGAUGAUCAUUCCUUUCCAUAACCUCUAAGAGAAGAUCUGAGGAAGAACUAUGAAAUCAAAGACUAACUAACUCCUCUGUAUUUUUCAUUUAAUGCAGCACGGUGUUCUGUAUUAUUUCUGGAUGCUAAGUUGUUGCUACAUUUCUCCCGGUGGUGACUACAUUUCAUCAACGAAUAAAGCUGUAACUGAUA